GGGGGCGUACCGGCUUCGACGGGGACACGUCGGGGUCAUGGUUGCAUGCCGAGCUGAUUACCUCGCAAAUCUGAUCAAAACUGAGUAGCUGCGAACAACAGCGAACUCGCCCUCGCGGCCUAAAAACCCGUGAGCGUCCGCCCGAUGGUUGCUCACGCCGUCGGGUCCGGAUGUCAUCAAUGUGAGCUAAGCGUUCGCGCACCGUCUCGGCGCAGACGUCGAAAACCACAGAGGCUGGUCCACAUCCGUUCCCCGCUCUCCGGGCAGGAUGAGGACGAGAACUAAAAGGAGAGCUAAGCAUGUAGUAGCCAGGCUUCACUGCUCUCGGACGGGGGUUCAACUCCCCCCGCCUCCACCA
rnacentral:tmRNA from 1 species